rnacentral:rRNA from 1 species
UACGUAGGGCGCAAGCGUUGUCCGGAAUUAUUGGGCGUAAAGAGCUCGUAGGCGGUCUGUCGCGUCGGAUGUGAAAACCCAGGGCUCAACCCUGGGCCUGCAUUCGAUACGGGCAGACUAGAGUGUGGCAGGGGAGACUGGAAUUCCUGGUGUAGCGGUGAAAUGCGCAGAUAUCAGGAGGAACACCGGUGGCGAAGGCGGGUCUCUGGGCAAAUACUGACGCUGAGGAGCGAAAGCGUGGGGAGCGAACAGG